rnacentral:tRNA from 1 species
CGGGGCGUGGCUCAGCUUGGUACGAGCGCUACACUGGGGGUGUAGAGGUCGCAGGUUCAAAUCCUGUCGCUCCGA